rnacentral:lncRNA from 1 species
GAAAACGUUGUGUCUAAUGAUACAAAGUUAAUUAUUUGCAAAUUAAAGAACUCCAUCUAUGGGCUAAGUAGAUUUCUCGUCAAUAGUAUUACAAAUUUUACUAAAUGAUUAUCUCAUUCAGUUUAGAGAUGAAUUUGGUUGAUAAUUGUAUAUGCCACAAGUUCAGUGCGAGUAAGGUUCUAUAUUUGGUUUUAUAUGUUUCUAUAUUCGGUUUUAUAUGUUAAUG